rnacentral:rRNA from 1 species
AACGAACGCUGGCGGCGUGCCUAACACAUGCAAGUCGAACGAGAAAGGGGCUUCGGCCCUGAGUAAAGUGGCGCACGGGUGAGUAACACGUGGGUAACCUGCCUUUGAGAUCGGGAUAACCUGUCGAAAGAUGGACUAAUACCGGAUAAGACCACGGCUUCUUAGGGAGCCGGGGUCAAAGAUAGCCUCUACUUGUAAGCUAUCACUUGAAGAUGGGCCUGCGUACCAUUAGCUAGUUGGUAGGGUAAUGGCCUACCAAGGCAAAGAUGGUUGGCGGGGAUAAGAGGAUGAUCAGCCACACUGGAACUGAGACACGGUCCAGACUCCUACGGGAGGCAGCAGUGGGGAAUAUUGCGCAAUGGGCGAAAGCCUGACGCAGCAACGCCGCGUGAGUGAUGAAGGCCUUCGGGUCGUAAAGCUCUGUCGGAGGGAACGAAUGUUCCUGGGGUUAAUAGCCCCGGGGAGUGACGGUACCCUCAAAGGAAGCACCGGCUAACUCUGUGCCAGCAGCCGCCGUAACAC